AAAGAGCAGAGGAAUUGAAAGUGUGAAAUAUUAAAGUUGUGUAAGGAGUAGUUCAGUCAGUUUCUGUCUGCACAGCCAUCAUGAGGUCGCUCGUCUGUCUUCCUUUCUGCCUGGUGAUGUUUCUGUUCUGUCUCAUUGCAGAAACAAGUCAACGUCCUUCAACCUGCUGUUUGCAGACGAGCAAAAAAAGAAUACCCAUAAACAGAGUGUUGAGUUAUACAGUGCAGGAAGCAGGAGUUUGCCAUAUCAGCGCAAUUGUCUUGUGCACUUUAAGACAGACAAUUAGGUGUAUUGAUCCAGACUCGGAGUGGAUCACAGAUCUUAUGAGAACAGUGGACCAGAAAAACGGACAAAACAAAAAUCCUAUUUGCCGAGCCAAAUUGCCAAAAGACAGAAGAAAAAAUAACAGAGGAAAGAUACGCAGACAGAAGAAUCAAAAGAAAAUAUAAUACAAUUUUUGUCAACGUUUAUAAUACAUUGUUUGACAUGUCCCAACUGACAUAAACCUGAAUUGAUGUCAAAAUAAGUAUUACUUUUUUUUUUAUGCUGACAUCUCUUUUGUAAUAAAUUUAUUUUGCUUUGCAAAUUUUAUAAUCUCUUAUCAAGAAUGUGUUUUUGUAUUUUAUGAUAAAAAAAAUGUCAUGUUGCAAAAUAAACAAGAUUUUUUAAAUAAAGAAA